AUUUAAUGUGUUUUUAUACGACCGCAAAAAAAUUUUUGUGGUCGUAUAUUGGUAUGACGUUGGCGUCGUCGUCGUCGUCGUCGUCGUCGUCGUCGUCGUCCGGCGUCGUCCUCCGAAUACACAUUAGUUUUCGCACUCUAACUUUAGUUUAAGUAAAUGGAUCUCAUGGAAAUUUUACCAUAAGGUUCAAUACUACAAAAGGAAGGUGGGGAUUGAUUUUGGGGGUUAUGGUACUAACAGUUAAGGAAUUAGGGGCCAAAAGGGGCCAAAAAUAAGCAUUUUUGUAACUUCCAGACAUAACUUGUGUGUAAGUGUAUGGAUCUCUCUGACAUUGUACCACAAGGUUCCAUAUCACAAAGGGAAUGCUGGGAUUGAUUUUGGGGGUAAUUGUCUCCAAAUUUUAGGAAUUAGGGGCCAAAAAGGGGCAAAAAACAAGCAUUUUUCUAGUUUCAUGACAAUAACUUGUUUGUAAGUGUAUGGAUCUUUAUGAAAUUGUACUACAAGGUUCCAUAUCACAAAGGGAAUACUGGGAUUGAUUUUUGGGGUAAUUUCCUCCAAAUAUUAGGAAUUAGGGGCCAAAAAGGGGCAAAAAACAAGCAUUUUUCUAGUUUCAUGACAAUAACUUGUUUGUAAGUGUAUGGAUCUUUAUGAAAUUGUACUACAAGGUUCCAUAUCACAAAGGGAAAGCUGGAAUUGAGUUUGGGGGUAAUUGCCCUAAACGUUUAAGAAUUUGGGGCCAAAAAGGGGCCAAAAAACAAGCAUUUUUCUAGUUUCCAGACAAUAACUUGUGUUCAAGUGUAUGAAUCUCUCUGAAAUUGUACUGCAAGGUACCAUACCACAAAGGGAAAGCUGGGAUUGAGUUUGGGGGCGAUGAAUCAUAAGGGGGUUCAAAAAAUUGGGGGGGGGGGGAUUUUUUUUUCCUUUUUUUUCUUUAACAUUUUCCAUUUUAAAUUGGUUAUUUCUGAUUUAUAUAUAAAAGCAAAUAAUAAUGAUAUGGUUUGAAUAGGCAUACAUGUGAACCUCCCGAUGGGAGUACAAUAAUCCCGUUUUCAGGGGUCUCCUCCCGACCUCCCGUUGAAAAAAUCCUGUGUAUGAAAUUUUUCAUGAAUGAAAAAUUUCUGCCCAACAUAACAUCUCAGGCAUCUGGUGUAACUGACAUUACCUGAAGUUAUAUUUUACCUGUAAAUCAAUUAACAUGCAUAAUUAUAUGGCUUCACUUGUCAGCUUGGGUGUCAAACAUACUGGUAAGCAACGAUUUUUACCUCAGGCUAACUGCCGUUGUGUAACAAAAACUGUGUAUUUAUUGGGUUACUUCCCUUGAUUUAUCCUGUUUUAAGUUACUUUCCUUUUAAUAAUGAAAAUUUUUAAAAGAAUAUAAAUAAAAUAUAAAUUGAACAAAUAAUCAUAAAAGGAUGGUUAUUAAAUGAUUUUAAAUGUCUUAGGACAAAUAAAAAAAUAAUAAUUUGAAAAUUAUUUGAGGAUUCUAUACUUCCUUUUAAGGCUUAAAUUGAAAUUUAUAUAAUAACUAUGACCCUAACUUUACAGAUAGAAUGAAUUUCUGAGUUUGCAAAUAAAAACUAUUUGCAAGAGAAAAAAAUAAAAAAUAAAAA